AUGUUCUCUCUCUCUGUCCUCUCUCUCUCUCUUGCCUCUCUCUCUCUCGCCUCUCUCUCGCCUCUCCCUCUCUCGCCUCUCCCUCUCUCGCCUCUCUCUCUCUCGCCUCUCUCUCUCUCGCCCUCUCUCUCUCUCGCCUCUCUCUCUCGCCUCUCUCUCUCUCUCUCUCGCCUCUCUCUCUCUCUCUCUCGCCUCUCUCUCUCUCUCUCUCUCGCCUCUCUCUCUCUCUCUCUCUCCUCUCUCUCUCUCUCGCCUCUCUCUCUCUCUCUCUCUCUCGCCUCUCUCUCUCUCUCUCGACUCUCUCUCUCUCUCGCUCUCUCUCUCUCUCUCCUCUCUCUCUCUCUCUCGCCUCUCUCUCUCUCUCCUCUCUCUCUCUCUCUCUCUCUGUCUCUCACUCUCUCUCCUCUCUCUCUCUCGCCUCUCUCUCUCUCUCUCGUCUCUCUCUCUCAUCUCUCUCUCGUCUCUCUCUCUCAUCUCUCUCUCGCCUCUCUCUCUCUCUCGCCUCUCUCUCUCGCCUCUCUCUCUCGCCUCUCUCUCUCAUCUCUCUCGCCUCCCUCUCUGUCGUCUCUCUCUCUGUCGUCUCUCUCUCUCGUCUCUCUCCCUCUCUCUGUCUCCUCCCUCUCUCUGUCGCCUCUCUCUCUCUGUCGUCUCCCUCUCGUCUCUCCCUCUCUCUCGUCUCUCUCUCGUCUCUCCCUCUCUCUCGUCUCUCUCUUUCUCUGUCGCCUCUCUCCCUCUGUCCUCUCUCUCCCUCUGUCCUCUCUCUCUCUCUUCUCCCUCUCUCUCGUCUCUCUUUCUCUGUCGUCUCUCUCUCUCUCGUCUCUCUCUCUCGUCCCUCUCUCUGUCGUUUCUUUCUCUCUCGGUCUCUCUCUCUCGCUCUCUCUCCCUCUCUCUGUUGUCUCUCUCUCUCGUCUCUCUCCCUCUCUCUGUCGCCUCUCUCUCUCUGUCGUCUCCCUUUCGUCUCUCCCUCUCUCUCGUCUCUCUCUCGUCUCUCCCUCUCUCUCGUCUCUCUCUUUCUCUGUCGCCUCUCUCCCUCUGUCCUCUCUCUCCCUCUGUCCUCUCUCUCUCUCGUCUCCCUCUCUCUCGUCUCCCUCUCUCCCUCCUCUCUCUCUCGUCUCCCUCUCUCCCUCCUCUCUCUCUCGUCUCCCUCUCUCCCUCCUCUCUCUCUCGUCUCCCUCUCUCCUUCCUCUCUCUCUCUUGUGUCUCUCUCUCAUCCCUCUCUCUGUCGUCUCUUUCUCUCUCUCUCGCUCUCUAACUCCUGUCCUUGUCUCGCUCUUUGUUUCAGUGCCUUGCAGCAUCUCUCUCUCCCUCCCCCUCCCUCUAAAUCAUGUCCUCCUCUCUCCCGCUAACUCAUGUCCUCCUCUCUCCCGCUAA
rnacentral:lncRNA from 1 species